UGGUGAAGUUUUCGGAUCGCGGCGACGCCGGCGGUUCGCCGCCGUUGACGUUGUGAGAAGUUCAUUAAACCUUAUCAUUUAGAGGAAGGAGAAGUCGUAACAAGGUUUCCGUAGGUGAACCUGCGGAAGGAUCAUUG
rnacentral:rRNA from 1 species